GCAUGCGCAGUCACGCUCCCCUGGAAAGCGGACGUCUUUAUUGCGUCCGGUAUAUGUCACAAUCCGGGGUUUGAAAACACACCAUGACAUCGACACGAUACAUCACAAAUAGAACGUUUCAACGGACCACGUCGAGUAAAAAUGUUGUGUGGCUCGGUGGAUGGAGGCAGUGCGGCGCAUUUGGCUCCAGGUGGCAGUAAGAGAUCAGACCCCUCUCACAGUGGCAUUGUUGAGCAACGUCACCAUCUUCCUCGGUCUCAUUCAGACAGCCGUGAUGCAAAGCAUUUGACAACCCAGUGAACAGAAGAGGUUUCAAUUUGUUUAAUGCCAUUGCCAGUUACAAAAGUUUACAGUCAAAACUAACCGUGAAACAAAGAUAAUUACACAUAUUUUACUUAAAAACAACCACAUGACUUUGCGUUAAAUCCAUUAUCUCAAUGCUAAGCCUUCAUGGGGUGAAACAGGAUUAGAUGAGCUACCGAAUAGCUAUGUGGCAACGUUACAACACUUCAAGCAAUGUUUUUUUUUUUGAAACGCCAACGGUGAAGCAACACAUGCAGACAGACAAUAUAACAAUAUUCCCAGGCAAAUAUUCUCUUAAUCCUCUGUGACAAUAACUUGCAUCUGAUUGUUUUUACACUGGCACCCGAUAGUCAAUACCAAAAGGAGCCACACUCUUUAUCGAAACAUGGAACGAGUUAAACUCGCAUCUUGCUGGAUACUCAUUUUCUUGUUGACACAAUUGGCCCUAUUCCACAUUUGGAUAUCUGGUCAAAGGGCUGAGAUCCACCGCAAAUUGAAUUUGCUGGGGAGGAACGGCAAUUAAAUACCCAAGCAUUGAAAAAACAAGCGAUUGAAGCAAGUAAACAAGCAAUCAGUGAUGGAAAGGAAAGCGAAUAGAGGAAUCGGAGAGAAAAAUGAAAAAGCAAAAUCAAGCUGGAUCUCGCCCCUGCUUGCAGCCCCCCCCCGGCAUCUAAGUCGAUUAUCCAGAAUCUUGAUCAAGCCGAGCGGGAGGAAGUAUCAUGUACUCCAGUGCUCCAUCCAUAAUAAAUGAGCCAGCAUUCAAUUAAAAUCCCUCUAUUCAUCUCCAACUACGAUAAAAACUUAUUAGUAUGGUCUCGAGGCCUCUGUCUGACACCGCGAGCCAGCCUUAAUCAUCCUGCAUGUCUGGGAUGCAGUUGGCGCUCGGCGCUCUUUAAUUGCCUCAAAGUUCAGACGCCCUUUUGAGAGACAUGACUCGAAGAUUUAAAGAGACGAACGCAAUGAGGAGAAUGCGCAGACGGCUGAUGGUGGGAACUUGUGCCAGCAGCAACUUUUUAAAGCCUCUUUUUUUUUUUUUUUAAAUCGACUUUAUAUGAAGCCCUUAAACGCUUUGAAUAAAUCAUAUUGUCUCUGCAAACACUGAAAGUGGACAUGUGUGAAUUUAUGAUGCAGGCACAAUCAGCCCGCUUGGCAGGACCAUAAAAUAGAAAGGCAUACAUAUUUUAACACAUUUGGUGAAACAGAACACUAGUUUUAGUAGAUAGCUGUUAAAAAAAAAAAAAAAAAAACACACACAACAGGGCUGAGCUGUAAAAAGGUGACCACAAUUAUAUGCAUGCUUACAAAAUAAGUUAAGUAUUGUUGUAAUUCACGUCUAUGUGUUGGGGAAGGGGGAGUGUGUUUUUUUUUUUUUAUUGUUUUUUUUUUUAAAGCAGCUGCCUUGACUGCCUAUACUUCCGUGCAUUUUAGCUGCUGAGAUGACACACUUCACUCUUUCAAACACAGGUUGGGGUCCAUAGUGUAUGUAACUAUGAAUUUUGUUAAGUAUUGUUUUAAAUCGGGCGAGUGCCGGUUCUGACAGGGCCACCACUUAAAAAGGUUUAAUGACGGACCCUGUUCAGCUGCAACUGCUGUCCGAAACUAGUGCGACCACAAAACCUUUAGGCUUUGGGUAGGAAGCAAAUGAAAUAUCAGGAAAAGCCUACUAGAACAGCCGAAAUUCAUUUGGGGUUAAUCGGCGGCACGUUCAAUGAUGUCAGGUUUGUGCUCAUUUCACAUAAUUUGAAUGUGAUUGGUUAACUAUGAAUGGAGUCCCAUUCGCUAGUUAUGCUCUUUAUUUUUGUUUUACUUCCUCUCUUGAAAAGACUAACCCAAAAAUUGAAUUGAGUUAUCACGGUGGAGCAAAAUUUGAAAGGAUUAAUCUUCACAUUAAUCAUAUUUUUUUACAUCACAAAAAAACAAGUGUUUUGAAAACGGGGUGGGGGUGUGUAGACUUUUGAUAUCGAUUGUAUGUUAGUCAUCCCUUUUGACAUGUGCUACCUUGGCCCAAAAGAUGUUUCCCAUGUCAACAUAUUAAUAGCACGCGUGAGCUUCACAUACCAGGGUGAAGUCGAGCUUCUGUUACGCAAUUUUUCUCAUCCCGCAUUGUUCAUGGGAAGUCCAGCUGAGAGACAUUGAUUCAGCACAGAUGACCGUUUGCGGUGACUAAUAGCGGUCAUAUUUUUAAGUCUCGCAGAUUGAGUCCAAACAUGCGCACCACAGGAAUCUCAAACAAUAAAUUUCCACGGCGCAAGUCAUGGGAAUCUCGACUGAGCGGCGCUUUUUCCACAUCUCUUCGAGUUCACGGCGUAGUAAAUGUCAAUUGGUUUGAAAUGUGCCAUACAAGC